GAAUGGAGAAAGAGAAUCUAUAUAACCGACCUUAAAUUUUUGGGGUAAAGGUUUAGUUGAGUAUUUUGUGUUUGAUUAUUGUGUAAAAUUAAAAUUAGAAUUAAGUUGGCUUACGAAAAUAUGAAAAAAAAGGAGGAUUAUGAAAAAAAAAGAGCCUGGUUAAUUUAGUAGGCAUAGUUGAUAAGUCACUUUGGUUUAGCUAAAUGAGGUUUGUGUAACACAAAUAUUGUUGUAUGCAGUGAUUUACAAUUAUAUUUUUUUUUCCGGCUUUCUAAAAGAAAAGUUAUAAUUGAUUCA
rnacentral:misc_RNA from 1 species